GGGCACGACACCGGAGAGGGAGCCUGAGAAACGGCUACCACAUCCAAGGAUGGCAGCAGGCGCGCAAAUUACCCAAUCCCGACACGGGGAGGUAGUGACAAUAAAUAACAAUACGGGGUUCUUUAGGAUCUCGUAAUUGGAAUGAGUACAAUUUAAAUCUCUUAACGAGGAACAAUUGGAGGGCAAGUCUGGUGCCAGCAGCCGCGGUAAUUCCAGCUCCAAUAGCGUAUAUUAAAGUUGUUGCAGUUAAAAAGCUCGUAGUUGAAUUUCGGGGUUAGUAGGUUGGUCAUGCCUCUGGUAUGUACUGGUCUCACUGAUUCCUCCUUCCUGAUGAACCGUAAUGCCAUUAAUUUGGUGUUGCGGGGAAUUUGGACUGUUACUUUGAAAAAAUUAGAGUGUUUAAAGCAAGCUAACGCUUGAAUACAUUAGCAUGGAAUAAUGAAAUAGGACGUUCGAUCCUAUUUUGUUGGUUUCUAGGAUUGACGUAAUGAUUAAUAGGGAUAGUUGGGGGCAUUAGUAUUCAAUUGUCAGAGGUGAAAUUCUUGGAUUUAUUGAAGACUAACUACUGCGAAAGCAUUUGCCAAGGAUGUUUUCAUUAAUCAAGAACGAAAGUUAGGGGAUCGAAGACGAUCAGAUACCGUCGUAGUCUUAACCAUAAACUAUGCCGACUAGGGAUCGGAUGAUGUUAAUUUUUUAAUGACUCAUUCGGCGCCUUACGGGAAAC
rnacentral:rRNA from 1 species